rnacentral:misc_RNA from 1 species
GAUGUACAAGAGUGGCACACCAAAAAAGGGCGUUGACAUUUUGGCUUAUGCCUGAAGAAAAUAUAGUGUUAUUUACAUUGCUUUCAUUUUCUCCACAGAACAAGCACGAUUUUACUCACCUUUUCCUGGAACCUUGUCAUUGUAACUUAUAACAUGAGAAUGUAUACAUAGCAUUACGAUGGUAGUGAUUGCCUAUGCACGAACUUGUUUAUAUCUUAUGUUUGCCAAGAAUUACACAAGUUUCAUGAUCUGGAACUUUCUUAUUGUCAUUGCAAU